AUGAACGCUAGCUACAGGCUUAACACAUGCAAGUCGAGGGGCAGCAUUUCAGUUUGCUUGCAAACUGGAGAUGGCGACCGGCGCACGGGUGAGUAACACGUAUCCAACCUGCCGAUAACUCGGGGAUAGCCUUUCGGAAGAAAGAUUAAUACCCGAUGGUAUAAUCAGACCGCAUGGUCUUGUUAUUAAAGAAUUUCGGUUAUCGAUGGGGAUGCGUUCCAUUAGGCAGUUGGUGAGGUAACGGCUCACCAAACCUUCGAUGGAUAGGGGUUCUGAGAGGAAGGUCCCCCACAUUGGAACUGAGACACGGUCCAAACUCCUACGGGAGGCAGCAGUGAGGAAUAUUGGUCAAUGGGCGCAGGCCUGAACCAGCCAAGUAGCGUGAAGGAUGACUGCCCUAUGGGUUGUAAACUUCUUUUAUAUGGGAAUAAAGUUUUCCACGUGUGGAAUUCUGUAUGUACCAUAUGAAUAAGGAUCGGCUAACUCCGUGCCAGCAGCCGCGGUAAUACGGAGGAUCCGAGCGUUAUCCGGAUUUAUUGGGUUUAAAGGGAGCGUAGGUGGACAGUUAAGUCAGUUGUGAAAGUUUGCGGCUCAACCGUAAAAUUGCAGUUGAUACUGGCUGUCUUGAGUACAGUAGAGGUGGGCGGAAUUCGUGGUGUAGCGGUGAAAUGCUUAGAUAUCACGAAGAACUCCGAUUGCGAAGGCAGCUCACUGGACUGCAACUGACACUGAUGCUCGAAAGUGUGGGUAUCAAACAGGAUUAGAUACCCUGGUAGUCCACACAGUAAACGAUGAAUACUCGCUGGUUGCGAUAUACAGUAAGCGGCCAAGCGAAAGCAUUAAGUAUUCCACCUGGGGAGUACGCCGGCAACGGUGAAACUCAAAGGGAUUGACGGGGGCCCGCACAAGCGGAGGAACAUGUGGUUUAAUUCGAUGAUACGCGAGGAACCUUACCCGGGCUUAAAUUGCAUUUGAAUAAUCUGGAAACAGGUUAGCCGCAAGGCAAAUGUGAAGGUGCUGCAUGGUUGUCGUCAGCUCGUGCCGUGAGGUGUCGGCUUAAGUGCCAUAACGAGCGCAACCCUUAUCUUUAGUUACUAACAGGUCAUGCUGAGGACUCUAGAGAGACUGCCGUCGUAAGAUGUGAGGAAGGUGGGGAUGACGUCAAAUCAGCACGGCCCUUACGUCCGGGGCUACACACGUGUUACAAUGGGGGUACAGAAGGCAGCUACCUGGUGACAGGAUGCUAAUCCCAAAAGCCUCUCUCAGUUCGGAUCGAAGUCUGCAACCCGACUUCGUGAAGCUGGAUUCGCUAGUAAUCGCGCAUCAGCCAUGGCGCGGUGAAUACGUUCCCGGGCCUUGUACACACCGCCCGUCAAGCCAUGAAAGCCGGGGGUACCUGAAGUACGUAACCGCAAGGAGCGUCCUAGGGUAAAACUGGU
rnacentral:rRNA from 1 species